rnacentral:rRNA from 1 species
UUGCAGUUAAAAAGCUCGUAGUCGGAUGUCGGGUUCGGGGUGGCUGUCGGCCUAGGUCGGAUGGCCGUUCCGGAUCUUUCUGCCUGGGGAUCCUAUUCUUCUUAACCGAGGGGUAGUGGGACGCAGGCCGUUUACUUUGAAAAAAUUAGAGUGUUCAAAGCAGGCUUUGUCUUGAAUACAUUAGCAUGGAAUAAUGGAAUAGGACUUUGGUCUUAUUUGUUGGUUUAUGGGACCGAAGUAAUGAUUAACAGGGACAGUUGGGGCCGUUUAUAUUUCGUUGUCAGAGGUGAAAUUCUUGGAUUUACGAAAGAUAAACUUCUGCGAAAGCAUUCGGCAAGGAUGUUUUCAUUGAUCAAGAACGAAAGUUAGGGGAUCGAAGACGAUCAGAUACCGUCGUAGUCUUAACCAUAAACUAUGCCGACUAGGGAUCAGUGGAUGUCAAUUUGCGACUCCAUUGGCACCUUGUGAGAAAUCAAAGUUUUUGGGUUCCGGGGGGAGUAUGGUCGCAAGGCUGAAACUUAAAGGAAUUGACGGAAGGGCACCACCAGGAGUGGAGCCUGCGGCUUAAUUUGACUCAACACGGGGAAACUUACCAGGUCCAGACAUAGUAAGGAUUGACAGAUUAAAAGCUCUUU